AGAGAAGAAAGCUUUAUAUAAUAAAUGAAGGUGCUGAAUAAUGAAGUAUCAGGGAAGAAAAAGGGAGAUAUUUAAGAUGAUAAACAGUAUAUAUUUUGGCCCAUAUAAAGGAUCAACAGACCUUGAAAUUAAACAUUUUAGAAAAUUUGCUGGCAUUUGAAAAAUUAUGUUUGAAUUUAACUGACUGAGGAACAAUAAGAAAGGCAGGCUGUCCCAAUUAUACUUAUAUUUCCAUUGUGUCAUUACAGGAAAACCCAAAUAUUUUCCACCAUAUUUUUUAUUGUGCUUCAGUUUUGGUGGGUGGCCCCUUCUUUAUUGUCAAACAAAUUAGUCAUACAAUUAUGCUGGCUGUCCUUUACCCACUACAGAGGUCAUGAUAGCAGACUGUCCACUUGGCCAACACUUCUUUGGCACCCAGCCACCUUGAGAAUGCCCCUGUUGCCCAGGGCUCACUCCCGCCUCUGCUGAUUGAGCUGCAUGAUUCCUGAUCCAAGCAGAAGGUUCCUCUGUCGUAAAUAAAAGAGCCAUGUGAAAAAGAAGAGAGAUUACAGGUUUAGGAGAGAAGAGAUCAUUGGCAGAACAAGAUCUUGUGGAAGUGUUUUGCAUGCAGUAUGAAACAGAUUGUAAAGAUGGACUCCUGUGGAAUAUGCUGUGUUUGGUGCUAAUUCCCAAUCAAGAUUGCUUAGGAGUUAACCAGGCAAUGGAUAAACAUUUUCUUUCACUGGAAUAUAAGCUUCAUGAUAGCAGGGAUUUUACUUAUUUUCUCAUUGAUGUGUUCCCAGCACAUAGAACUGUAUCUGGCACGUAAUGGUAAUGUAUACUCAAUAACUACUUGUGAAAUGAUAUCUUUGCUUGUGAGACUUUUUUUAAUAUCUUAAUGUGAUUGACCUGUCAGUUUUUUAAAAGAGAG
rnacentral:lncRNA from 1 species